UUUGAAAGCUGGCGUCUUCGGCGUCCGCGUUGUAAUCUCGAGACGUGUUUUCCGUGCGGCUCUAUGGACAAGUCCCUUGGAACAGGGCAUCGUAGAGGGUGAAAAUCCCGUACUUGCCAUGGAAGUACCGUGCUUUGUGAUACACGCUCCAAGAGUCGAGUAGUUUGGGAUUGCUGCUCAAAGUGGGUGGUAGACUCCAUCUAAAGCUAAAUAUCGGGGAGAGACCGAUAGCGAACAAGUAC
rnacentral:rRNA from 14 species